UUUUAUGGAGAGUUUGAUCCUGGCUCAGGAUGAACGCUGGCGGCGUGCCUAAUACAUGCAAGUCGAGCGAACGGACGAGAAGCUUGCUUCUCUGAUGUUAGCGGCGGACGGGUGAGUAACACGUGGAUAACCUACCUAUAAGACUGGGAUAACUUCGGGAAACCGGAGCUAAUACCGGAUAAUAUUUUGAACCGCAUGGUUCAAAAGUGAAAGACGGUCUUGCUGUCACUUAUAGAUGGAUCCGCGCUGCAUUAGCUAGUUGGUAAGGUAACGGCUUACCAAGGCAACGAUGCAUAGCCGACCUGAGAGGGUGAUCGGCCACACUGGAACUGAGACACGGUCCAGACUCCUACGGGAGGCAGCAGUAGGGAAUCUUCCGCAAUGGGCGAAAGCCUGACGGAGCAACGCCGCGUGAGUGAUGAAGGUCUUCGGAUCGUAAAACUCUGUUAUUAGGGAAGAACAUAUGUGUAAGUAACUGUGCACAUCUUGACGGUACCUAAUCAGAAAGCCACGGCUAACUACGUGCCAGCAGCCGCGGUAAUACGUAGGUGGCAAGCGUUAUCCGGAAUUAUUGGGCGUAAAGCGCGCGUAGGCGGUUUUUUAAGUCUGAUGUGAAAGCCCACGGCUCAACCGUGGAGGGUCAUUGGAAACUGGAAAACUUGAGUGCAGAAGAGGAAAGUGGAAUUCCAUGUGUAGCGGUGAAAUGCGCAGAGAUAUGGAGGAACACCAGUGGCGAAGGCGACUUUCUGGUCUGUAACUGACGCUGAUGUGCGAAAGCGUGGGGAUCAAACAGGAUUAGAUACCCUGGUAGUCCACGCCGUAAACGAUGAGUGCUAAGUGUUAGGGGGUUUCCGCCCCUUAGUGCUGCAGCUAACGCAUUAAGCACUCCGCCUGGGGAGUACGACCGCAAGGUUGAAACUCAAAGGAAUUGACGGGGACCCGCACAAGCGGUGGAGCAUGUGGUUUAAUUCGAAGCAACGCGAAGAACCUUACCAAAUCUUGACAUCCUUUGACAACUCUAGAGAUAGAGCCUUCCUCUUCGGGGGACAAAGUGACAGGUGGUGCAUGGUUGUCGUCAGCUCGUGUCGUGAGAUGUUGGGUUAAGUCCCGCAACGAGCGCAACCCUUAAGCUUAGUUGCCAUCAUUAAGUUGGGCACUCUAAGUUGACUGCCGGUGACAAACCGGAGGAAGGUGGGGAUGACGUCAAAUCAUCAUGCCCCUUAUGAUUUGGGCUACACACGUGCUACAAUGGACAAUACAAAGGGCAGCGAAACCGCGAGGUCAAGCAAAUCCCAUAAAGUUGUUCUCAGUUCGGAUUGUAGUCUGCAACUCGACUACAUGAAGCUGGAAUCGCUAGUAAUCGUAGAUCAGCAUGCUACGGUGAAUACGUUCCCGGGUCUUGUACACACCGCCCGUCACACCACGAGAGUUUGUAACACCCGAAGCCGGUGGAGUAACCUUUUAGGAGCUAGCCGUCGAAGGUGGGACAAAUGAUUGGGGUGAAGUCGUAACAAGGUAGCCGUAUCGGAAGGUGCGGCUGGAUCACCUCCUUUCUA
rnacentral:rRNA from 2 species